AUGCACAAUCAUUAAUACCCAUUUUUCUAUCCUCUAUUGAGCAGUCAUUUAGGAGUGUAUUAAAUAUUACCUCUUUGUCUCUUUCAGACUCGAUGUGUGCUAAAAUAUGAUCACAGCAACUGUUGCCUUAAAGUUAAAGUUACAGAUGAUGUUAUGUGUGUCCAGUAUAAGACUGACAGCCAACAGGAGCUGAAGAAAUUAGAGAAGCUGUUAAGCAGUCUGAUGAAACACAUGGCGUCUGACCAGAGAUAACUUAGCUCUUUGCUCUAGAGAUUCGAGGUUUUCCAAUCAUGUUUUCCCAAGCAAUUUAUUUUGUUAAUAUGGUUACAUAAUGUUUUAUAUGACAGAUAUUCGUAUCUUUUCAAUAUCCUCGAAAGCAUGUUCUGUGACACCAGCUUGGACGAGGGUUGUAAUUUUUUUUUUCCUCCUCUUGCUCUCAUUCUCUCUAUCUGUUCUUUGAAGGGAAUUCUUUGUGGAUGUCUCAAAGGGAAGAAAAUGUUAAACUUUAAUAAAGAUCCUCUUUAUAUUAUA